GAUGAAGAACGCAGCGAAAUGCGAUAAGUAAUGUGAAUUGCAGAAUUCAGUGAAUCAUCGAAUCUUUGAACGCACCUUGCACCCUUUGGCAUUCCGAAGGGUAUGCUCGUUUGAGUGUCAUUGUACUCUCACUCUCCCGAUACUUUUGGAUCGGGAGUGGUGGACUUGGGUGCCGCUGCUUAACUGUGGCUCGCCUUAAAUGAAGUAGUGCAACUCUCGGUUGGACAUAGUACGGCGUGAUAAGUGUCUUCGCCGGCGCCUCAUUCGAGGGUGGCCGAUCGGGAGCUCUGUGCUUCAAACUGUCUUCGGACAACAUCUGACAACUUGACCUCAAAUCGAGUAGGACUACCCGCUGAACUUAAGCAUAUCAAUAAGCGGAGGA
rnacentral:misc_RNA from 1 species